AUGGAAGAGUCUCUGUUAUUGGACCAGAAUUUCCGCCACAAAGCAGAGAAGCUCCUUGGGAUUUUCCAAAGCGAACUGUUCCAGGCCCUCCUGGAUAUCCAGGAGUUUUACGAAGUCACGGUUUCGGACGCGCGUCCCACGACCUCGCGAAGGUCUCGGCCUAAGGUAGGUGCCUUUUCCCGUGGCUCUUUCCCUGCUUUUUUCUUUCUUUCUCUACCUGCUGUGUUCCAUGUGCUUCCAGAAGACUUGAUCCUGCUGUUCUUGGUGCCUCGGCUCACCCUUUGCCUGCAUGCCUCUGAGCAUGUGCAAAGUGUACUCUUCUGGCCAGCCCAGCCCCUGCUAGCCAUCACGUCUAUGGCUAGAGUCAGGGCUAAAUUACAAUUUCAUCUGUGCCUUUUUUCUAAGGGAGGGGAGUUACCUUGUCUAACCUCUCUUCCGGCUGCUUUCCCCCCCCCUCUCUCUCGCACACACACACACACAAUCUCUUCCGGCUGCUUCCCCCCCCCUCGCACACACACACACACAGACACAGACACAGACACACACACACACACACACACACACACACCUUUGCACCAGGGCUGGCCAACCUGCAUGAACAAGGCAGAUCAAAAGGUUUAUGGAUGCCGACAAAGAAAAACCAGGAGGCUAGAAGAUAUUUCAAGGGAAUGAGGCUGUCCAUUGGCUUAGCCUGAAAGUUCUGGGGCAUGCUACAUAGCUAGGGGAUUCUGGGCACUGAAGUCCCCAAAUACAUCUCUUUUCAAGCUGUAAAACGUACUCGGCAAGCCUGAGGGCUGUGGUUGUUCUUCCGGCUUCUUCUCCCUUCUCUGCUACUCUUUUCCCGCUUCUCAGGCCGGUCUGUGUCCUCUCCAGAACGGGGUGCAGAUUUGUGUUGCCUUGUUGGUUUGGGCUACAACUCCCAGGACUUUCCCUGUGUCGAGCCACAUCUGUGGCCUCGGGGCGAGUGGCGUGGUGGUCCUAGAGUACCCCGAAGGGAGGGAUUGGAAACCACUUUGGGGGGGGCUUCGUAUCUGGAAAACGUCACAAGUCAGAAUCGAGGUGAGGAUGCAGCUGCCUUUUUUGAGAAGACAAACAUAAACACAGCCUUUGCUGGUUCCUUGGCUAUUGGGGGGUCGGGGGCGUCAACUCUCUGAAGCCCCAGCUAGCUUGGCCAGUGGUCAGAGACUCGGAGAAAUUGGGUAAAGCAAUGUGUUUGGGGCGGUGUUGGUCAACCCAAGGUCAAGCAGCUUGAGAUCGUAGUGUUCCCUUGAAGUUCUUCUUCGUGGCCUCUGUGAAUGCACACAAAGGGGUUUUACUGAGUCUGCACAGGACUCUUCGGAAUAUUCUAGAGCUUAAAAAGACUAGUAGGAUGUUGCCCCGUGGCGCGCAUGCUCUGCCCACCCGUAAUACCUCAGUUCCUUUUAGCUGCAGCUGAAAUCGGACUUCUUUGGGAAUUAGAGCUUGUGAUUUGUGAUUUUUAUCAAUGGCAUUUUGAUCUCUGGACUGUUUACGGCUUUCGAUUAUUGGAUUUCAGACUCAAUCAAGUUUUUUAUUUACAGACGUUUCCCUGUGAGUUGUUUUUUUUCCUUAUUUCUCUCAUUUUUCCCCCUCCCCACCUUCCCGCCCCUUUUAAAUGGCCUCCUCAGGUCCAUUCAAACACUGCACGACAUGUGCCAAUAAAAUUCCUUUUACGGACGGCCA
ensembl:lncRNA